GUGCUCGCUUCAUCAGCACGUACACUAAAAUUGGAAAGAUACAGAGAAGAUUAGCAUGGUCCCUGUGCGAGGAUGACAUGCAAAUUCGUGAAGCGUUCCAUAUUUUU
rnacentral:snRNA from 1 species